rnacentral:rRNA from 1 species
CUGGCAACGGUGAAACUCAAAGGAAUUGACGGGGGCACGAACAAAGAGGAAGGAACAUGUGGUUUAAUUCGAUGAUACGCGAGGAACCUUACCCGGGCUGGGGUGGGUGGGUGACGAUCCAGAGAUGGUGAGGUCUUUCGGGACACCUGUGGAGGUGCUGCAUGGUUGUCGUCAGCUCGUGCCGUGAGGUGUCGGGCUUAAGUGCCAUAACGAGCGCAACCCUUUCCCACAAAUAAACAUCAGGUUUGGCUGGGCACUCUGUGGGUACUGCCACCGUAAGGUGCGAGGAAGGUGGGGAUGACGUCAAAUCAGCACGGCCCUUACGUCCGGGGCUACACACGUGUUACAAUGGGUGGUACAGAGAGUCGGGCGCCGGCAACGUCGCUCCAAUCUUGAAAGCCAUCCUCAGUUCGGAUUGGGGUCUGCAGACCCGACCCCAUGAAGCUGGAUUCGCUAGUAAUCGCGCAUCAGCCAUGGCGCGGUGAAUA